UUCAGUUUAGUUGUGUAUUCUAUAUUGUUUUUUAGUUUUUUUGCUUGCAUUUUAACAGACACAUAGUUGUUGAAAUGGGAUUCUCGAAUGAUUGUCGUUUUUUUUCCCGAAGAAGUGACUCUUAUAUUUGUUUAUUUCUUUGUGCAACUUUAAUAUGAGGUUAUUAAGGAAAGAGAUAAAAGGAAGAAGAAGGGAGAAGGGAGAGUGAAUAGAAGAAGCGACCUUAUAUUUCUUCAUAUCUCUGUGCAAACUUAAUAUGGGGUUAUUAUGGAAGGAGAUAAAGGAGGAAGAAGGUCGAGAGAAAAGAAGAAGUUACCUAUAUUUCUGUAUCCAUAUGUCAAAAUUUAAUGUGGUUAUUUAUCGAAGGAGAUAAAGGAGAAAGAAGGUAGAGGGAAAAAGGUAGAAAAGAGGAGAAAGAAGGUAGAGGGAAAAAGAGUUGUCCUUGUGCUUUUCGUUGGCGAUGACGAUGGAGAGCACGUCAACUCCUUACGGAGCUUGUAGUCUUUCUGAAAUCAUCCCAUGUAGCAGUGUGACUUUAGCUCUCUCUCCCCUGUUGGGUUGAGAAAGAGUUAACUUAAAUGAACCUUCUUAGAUUCCUUCCGUAACCAGAUAAUCAUGUACCUCUAGCAGGACCUAGAAAAGUACCCCGAAGGUGAGCUCUGCAAAAUCUAGAAAUACUCGACCUGAAAGAAAGUGAGUCACUAGACGGCUUCGUAGGAAACCUUGUAACCUAACUUAGACCUUUCCUUUAGAUAACCUACAAAUAACCUGCUAGAAAUAACCUGAAGGUGAGCUCUGCGCUCUCUAAAGAUCUCGUAUAGGAGCAGAGCCAUAGACAACAUCCUCAUAUCCUCAUGACGCGACAAAGAGGGGAAGUUCAGUACAUAAAUUUGAAUAGUGAAAAAGUCAACUAACAGCUAACCUUUCCUUCUUGAUCCCUCUCUCCUUAGUUUGAGUUGUCGGUAGCAUCUACCGACUUCCGAGUUUGUGGUAUAUGGCUUCGCUCCGCGAAGGGAGUGUAGGUGCACGGUUUCCUUCCUACCAAGCCAAUUUUUCUCAAAUUCUUUGAGCCUUGUCCCGUUCGAAGGACUCGUUCAUUCCUUGCCGUAAGACCUACCAUCAUCCUCAGUCUUCAAGCUAAGGUGUCUCUCCCCCGGAGGGUUGAGGGGAAGGUGUUAGUGGUUCCGAAGGAACUCCUUAUCAAUAAGGAUAGGGGGCUCGGGGGAAAGGGAAAAAUGGUUCUUUGAUGAAAUUUCAAAUUUUCGAGAAUAUUUUGAGAUACUCUAUUUCUCUCCAUUAAAAACAAAUUUCAAAAUUUCAAGAA